rnacentral:rRNA from 1 species
UACAGAGGUCUCAACCGUUGUUCGGAUUCAUUGGGCGUAAAGGGUGCGUAGGCGGUCGUGCAAGUCGGAUGUGAAAUCUCAGGGCUCAACCCUGAAACUGCAUUCGAUACUGCGUGGCUAGAGUGCUGGAGAGGAGACUGGAAUUCCUGGUGUAGCGGUGAAAUGCGCAGAUAUCAGGAGGAACACCGGUGGCGAAGGCGGGUCUCUGGGCCGAUACUGACGCUGAGGAGCGAAAGCGUGGGGAGCGAACAGG